UAAAAACAGACUGCAAAGUGAAAUAAUAUUUUACUUGGCAAGAAAGGCCGGGCAGCAAAGCCUACUGGUUGACGUCUCAAUCACGUAGUGCUUGUUUUGUCCAGCAGGAGGAGCUGCUCGCUAUAUCAGCUUCAUUAUCUCUUCUACUGACUACUUGCUCGCGCUAGUUUGAGAGAAAACUGCUGUGGAAAACUCAGCCAAAGCUAGCAAGUGUCAAGUGAAUCCACAACAUCACUACAAACGUCUUUUCAAGCCAGAGUGGAGAGGAGGAAGACUGGAUAGGAAGAAGAGUGAAAGAGAGAGGAGGAAAGAUUGGAGAGGAAGGAGAGGGGGAAAAUUAAGGGAGUAAAAAGAGUGAAGCAAGGAGAGUGAGGUGGAAAGGUAAAGAGAAGGAAAGGAAGAAAGAGCAGGAAGACAAGUGAAGACAAGAGGAGGAGAAAGAUUAGAGGAGAAGAAAAAGUUGAGAGUAAGAAGAGUGACACAAAGAGAGUGAAGAAGAGCAGACAGAGGAGCGGGGGAAGAACGGCAGUGGUAGAACAUCAACAGACGAAAAAGCAUAAAGCCUAUCUGAUUGGCCGUGUUGGUAUGCCCUCUGUCACCACAUUCUUCAAGAAGAACAUGAGAACAUAUGAAAGCUGGUGGUUCCUUUCAACAUGAGUCUUCAAUAUUCCCAGGCACUGUGGAGUGGUAAAGUGGAUGACCCUGCUCCUGAUGACCUGACCUCCCAGGCAGUGGACAAGCUCAACAAAAAACUCCACAACGACCAGGGGAUCGAUCUGAGCAUGCUCACUGUGGGCGAUGGACUCACCCUGGCCAUCAAACACUAUUCAAAAUCAAAUCAAAUGUUAUUGGUCACAUACACAUGGUUAGCAGAUGUUAAUGUGAGUGUAGCGAAAUGCUUGUGCUUCUGGUUCUGACAGUGCAGUAACAUCUAACAAGUAAUCUAACAUUUCCCCAACAACUACUUAAUACAUCUAAAAGGGGCGAAUGAGAAAAUGUACAUAGAAAUAUAUGGAUGAGCGAUGGCCGAGGGGCAUAGGCAAGGUGCGACUAGAAGGUAUAAAAUACAGUAUGAUUCAUAUGAGAUGAGUAAUGUAAGAUAUGUAAACAUUAUUAAAGUGGCAUUGUAUAAAGUGACUAGUGAUCCAUUUCUUAAGGUGGCCAGUGAUUGGGUCUCCAUGUAGGCAGCAGCCUCUCUGAGUCAGUGAUUGCUGUUUAGCAGUCUGAUGGGCUUGAGAUAGAAGCUACUCAUCAGUCUCUUGGUCCCAGCUUUGAUGCACCAGUACUGACCUCGCCUUCUGGAUGGUAGCGGUGUGAACAGGCAGUGGCUCGGGUGGUUGUAGUCUUUGAUGAUAUUUUUUGCCUUCCUGUGACAUCGGGUGCUAUAGGUGUCACGCUAACUUAUGCUAACUCAUGCUAGCUCAUUAUAAUUUAUGCUAACCUAUGCUAACUCCAAACCCACUGAUUUUAUUGGAGAUUCGAAAGCAUGUCAGCCUCAGUCUGAGAAAGAGCUAAAUCAGUACCCUCUACCCCCUGAGAUUUAAUUUGGUUCAGGUUCAAUUAUGUUAUUAGAUAUGAUUCUCCACUGAAUUGCUGCCUAAAGUUACAUAAAGGGAUUAUAUGUAUAGCAUGUUGUGAUGAUUUCUGAAAAUGUUCAAUGUCUUUCCAUACAUAGGUCUAUUGCUUCUGAGUAGUGAGUGUCUUGAUGUCUGUAUCACUAAAACAUUUUAAAAGUAUGUGUUUAUUUGUCUAAAAAAAACUUGAUUUGAAUUGAUAAUCCACCAACCUAUGUGUUCUUGUAUCAAUCCCUGUGUUCUAGUACUUCUUUAAUGUUAUAGUUAGAACUUCCAAAAGUAAUGUCACGCCUGCUCUCACUCUUCCCAUAAUGCAGGCUGCCCUGCAUUACGCACUCCUGCCACCAUCAUUUAUGCACACCUACCUUCCCUCGUCAUGCGCUUCAGUGAUUUUUUUUUUACUCACCUGGACUCACUCAAUCACAUGUUUAUUCCCUAGCCUAUACAAGUCAUUUCCCCAGCUCUGUCCCCCGCUGCUGCAUUGCUUGUCAUAUGUCCGUGUUACCCGUGUGUUGACGCUGUUCCUGUCUUGUUCUAUGUCUGUUCCUGAAUAAAUGUCUGACUCCCCGUACAUGCUUCUCCUGUCCGGCGUCGGCCCUUACAAGUAAAGUAAAAUGCCAUGAUAAAUUUGAGCAAUUAAGGUAACUCGUCAAAUAAACUAAUAAAUUGCAUCAACACAUACAGUGUAUCCCAUGUGUGAGCCUCUUUACAAAGAUUCUACUUAAAAUAAAAUGAAAUGUUAUUUGUCACAUGCGACCUUACAGUGAAAUGCUUACUUGUUGCUACAUUCUGGUAAAAAUGAGGUAAAACUGAUUUAAGUUUCCCUGCAUUAAAGUCCCCGGCCACUAGGA